rnacentral:lncRNA from 1 species
CAAAGUUUCAGAAGACAGGCUGGUUAUCUUAUUGAAGUGAAUGCAGCUGGUGAUUUUAGGUGGAAGUCAAUACUCAUUAACUAUUCCAAAAAUCCUAGGGCCCUUAAGAAUUAUUCUAAAUCUAUAAAUGCAACAAGAAAGCCUAGAUGACAGCACAUCUGUUUAGAGCAUGGUUUACUGAAUAUUUGAAGCCCAAUGUUGACACCUACUGCUUGGAAAAAAAGAUUCCUUUCAAAAGAUUGCUGCUGACUGGCAAUGCACUUGGUCA